rnacentral:rRNA from 1 species
UCCGGUUGAUCCUGCCGGAGGGAACCCCUAUCGGGCUCGGACUAAGUCAUGCAAGUCUGCCGAAGGCCCCCGCCUUCGGCGGCGAACGGCUCCGUAAUACGCGGUCAACCUACCCUGGGGAGGGGGAUAACCUCUGGAAACCGAGGCUAAUCCCCCAUAGGGACGAAGUGCUGAGAUGCCUUCGUCCCGAAAGUAGGCGGAGGGGUUAUGGCUCCGCCAAGGCCCCAGGAUGGGACCGCGGCCCAUCAGGUAGUAGGUGGGGUAACGGCCCACCUAGCCGAAGACGGGUACGGGCGGUGAGAGCCGGAGCCCGGAGAUGGCCACUGAGACAAGGGGCCAGGCCCUACGGGGCGCAGCAGACGCGAAAACUCCGCAAUGCGGGAAACCGCGACGGGGCGAGCCCGAGUGCCUCCCUAAUAGGGAGGCUGUCCCCGAGCCUAAACAGCUCGGGAUAGGAAGGGGAGGGUAAGGCUGGUGCCAGCCGCCGCGGUAAAACCAGCUCCCCGAGGGGUUCCCACGCAUACUGGGCCUAAAGCGUCCGUAGCCGGCCCUGUAAGUCCUCGGUUAAAUCCACUGGAAGACCAGUGGACUGCCGGGGAUACUGCAGGGCUAGGGACCGGGAGGGGCCGAGGGUAUUCCCGGGGGAGGGGUAAAAUCCGUAGAUCCCGGGAGGACCACCAGUGGCGAAGGCGCUCGGCUGGAACGGGUCCGACGGUGAGGGACGAAAGCUGGGGGAGCGAACCGGAUUAGAUACCCGGGUAGUCCCAGCCGUAAACGAUGCCGGCUAGGUGCUGGGCGGGGUUUUGGCCCCGUCCGGUGUCGAAGGGAAGCCGUUAAGCCGGCCGCCUGAGGAGUACGGCCGCAAGGCUGAAACUUGAAGGAAUUGACGGGGGGGCACCACAAGGGGUGAAUGCCUGCGGCUCAAUUGGACUCAACGCCGGAAAUCUUACCGGGGGCGACAGCAGGAUGAAGGUCAGGCUGAAGACCUUACCAGACGAGCUGAGGGGUGGUGCAUGGCCGUCGCCAGCUCGUGCCGUGAGGCGUCCUGUUAAGUCAGGCAACGAGCGAGACCCCCGCCCCUAGUUGCCAGCGGCAUCCUUCGGGAUGGCCGGGCAAACUAGGGGGACUGCCGGCGAGAAGCCGGAGGAAGGAGGGGGCCACGGCAGGUCAGUAUGCCCCUAAUCCCCCGGGCCGCACGCGGGCUGCAAUGGGCGGGACAGCGGGAUGCGACCCCGAGAGGGGGAGCAAAUCCCUAAAACCCGCCCGUAGUUGGGAUCGAGGGCUGCAACUCGCCCUCGUGAACCCGGAAUCCCUAGUAACCGCGCGUCUACAUCGCGCGGUGAAUACGUCCCUGCCCCUUGUACACACCGCCCGUCAACCUGCCCGAGUGGGGCUGGGGCGAGGUCUAGUCUUCUCCUUCGGGAGGAGGCUAGAUCGAGCCUUGGCUCCGCAAGGGCGGGUAAGUCGUAACAAGGUAGCC